rnacentral:lncRNA from 1 species
CAUCCUGCUCUGCAAAAAAAAAGCUUUGCUUUAAAACAAACAGGCACGGGCAUAGACUCACGUGGUCAUCUGGCUCGGUUGGGCUGGUGCCACCUUCUUGAUUGGAGACAAUCAUGUCAUCCACAAACUGCUCGUACAGGCUCCUAUGCUUAGCAAGAACGGC